GCCCUGCUAGCUCAGUGGUAGAGCGUCGCACUCGUAUCAGCCAUUCAUUGACACCUGAUAUACCAUGCGAAGGUCAGUCGUUCAAGUCGGCUGUGGGGCA